rnacentral:lncRNA from 1 species
ACCAGUUUUCUGGAGCGCUGUGUGUUCUUAACAGCUGAGCAGUCUGUUUCUCCAAUCAGGUUUCAAAGCCACUUCAACUGCACUGGCCCCUGUGGGUCACUGCUGCACCGCCCUGACCCAUGUGGGUCCCUGAGGAGCGACCUGCCGGGGCCACCUGGCUGGACGAAAAAGACACACCUUGGACUUAAGCCGUGAGAAAAAAACUUCAUCAGUAAGAAGAAUGAAUAAACAGACUAGGUUGAAUCCAUACAAUGGAAUGUUAGCAGACAAUAAAAAGAAAAUGAACUAUUGAUGUCCCCUACUGCACAGCAGAAGCUCUGAAUCGUGUUCCUGAAUGAAAGAAGUCAGGCAGGUUCUUCAGGAGGGAUUCCAGAACAAGGCACUCUCAUCACAGGAGAUGACAGCUCCAUGUGCAUGACGGCCCCAGAAGACCAUCUGGUAGGACAAGAUGUGGAGGUGGAACGCAGUGAUAUUGAUAAUCCUGACCCUGGAGAUGAAAAGAUGGGCCAGGAGUCCAGUUUCUGGAAGGCCAAGAAUCGAAGUAGCAAGCUGCAGCCGUUUUCCAGACAAGCAGGAUGUGGGGAUGCAGAAGAAUUCAGGACUGGAGGGGCAAACUCCGUAAGCAGGGGCUGUCACGAUUCCCAUCUCCCUCUAUAAACCUCUCUCUUUUCAUGUCAUACUGUUCCAUGUUAUAUGUAACUGUUUUAAAGCUACAUACUGGACAAAAAGUGGAAUAGACUCCAGCCUCUGAAUUGUUAAAUAAGCUGAUGACAAACCUUCACAUUUUCUCCAUCAGGAUGUGACUGAGGCCCCACUGCCAAAUGGCAGCAUGCUCAGAUAGCACCCAGGAAUUUGGGGAAAAAAACUGGUGCUCACAGCUGCCCAGUUAAGGCACAAGUCUCCCGCCUGCUGCAGGGGUUGUGAGGUGUAUCAGAACCUUGAAGAGAUACUCUGGGAAGAAAGGCCUUCCCAGACUGCCUCUCCGCAGCGCUGUAAGAAUCAGAUUUCUUCUAUGGGGGACUUCCAGGUCUCUUCAGCAUUUUCUCAGUCAUCACUGUAUCCCUGCCACUCAGUGAACCACAGCAACAACUCCCAGCUUCCAGCCGAGAAGCUUGACCCUGAAGCUGGCCUCGAUUCUCUACAGAAGUGAGGCCACAGAGCACAGGUGAAGGGCCACUUACCUGGUAUCAUCUCUGGUCUCAGCUCUGGAGAACUAGCUCCUCUGCCACUGCCACAUCCUGUCCACCAAGACCUCCUUGCUGAACCCCACCCCCACCCGGUGCCUCAGGACCCUAACUUGUUUGCUGACCUCCAUGUCCUCUCACCAGAUCCAGCCCUGGGGAGCUGAACUUCCUCUGGCCCACUGCCAGCUCUGGAUCAGUCCACACCCCAGCCAGCCACAGCCCAGCCCUGCCUCUCUCUGUCUCUCUCUCAUGGCUGGGUUGGCCUUGGCCAAUGCUCUCUCUAGAGAUCAAGACACAGGCACCUCUCUUGGUCUGUUCUGGCUGCUGUGACAAAAUGCCUUAAGCUGGGUGGCUUAUAAACCACAGAAAUUUAUUUCUCACUGUUCUGGAGGCUGGGAAGUCCUACAGACUGGGGUACUGGCCUGCUUGUUUCCUCGUGAGGGCUCUCUUCCUGGGUUGCAGAUGGACAUCUCCCUGAUGUAUCUUCACAUGGCAGAGAGAGAGAGAGAGAGAGACAGAAAGACAGAGAAAGAGAGAGAGAGAGAGAGAGAGCAUGCUCUUUGGUCUCUUCUGGUAAGGGCCUAAUCCCGUCAUGAAGAAUCCCCAUAACUUCAACUAAAUCUAAUCACUUCUCAAAGGCUCCAUCUCCACAUACCAUCCCAUUGUGGGUUAGGGUUUCAACAUAGGAAUUCUGGAGGCACACAAACGUGCAGUUCAAAACAUGUGGAGACAAGGGGGCAAGGACUAGAGAGCCCUACCAUCCUCGUUCAAACCCUUGAAUCAAGCCUGAAGUCAAAGAACUUCCUUUGGAGAGCCCCAUUCCAUGAGCCGAUAAUUUCCCCAUUUUGCCAUCACCCACUUGAGUUUGGGAUUUUCCCCCAGUUACUGAGUGCCUGACUGACAUGAUGCCCCCCACAGAUGGGCCUCCCUGCCCCCAAUCUCACCUCCUCUGUUAGUUUCCUGGGGUUGCCACAACAAAGCGUUACAGGCAGAGCGGCUAAAACGACAGAAACUUAUGGUCUCACAGUUCUGGAGGCUGCAAGUUCAAGGUCAAGGUGUCAGCAGGGUUGGUUCCUUCGGAAGGCUGUGCAGGAGCCUGUUGGGUGCCUGUCCCUCAGCUUCUAGUGGAUUACUUCCAUCUUCAGCAUGCCUUGGCUUGUAGAAGGACUACCCUGAACUCUGCCUUCAUGGUCACAACACAUCCUCCCUGUGUGUGUUUCUGUGUCCAAAUUUCCCCUUCUUAUAAGGACACCAGUCUUAUACGGACAAUGCUCAAUGUAUGAACCUUUGCCAAGGGAUUGGAUUAGGGACCCACUAUAUUCCAGUAUGACCUCAUCUUAACUAAUUAUACCUGCAAUGACACUGCUUCCAAAGAAGGCCACAUGAUGAGGUACCGUUGGUUAGGAAUUCAAUAUAUGAGUUUGGGGGGACACAGUUCAGCCCACACCACCUCCUCUGACCCUGAAUUGGAUGCUGUUUCUGCUCUGCUUAUGAUCCUCUUGUCCUCACUGGCCUCUUGGUCCAGCACCCACUGAGGCACCAGCUCUGAGAGAGCUCACUGGCUUCACACAGGUGCGACCUGAUGGCGCCUCACCUCAUACCCCAAACAUCCUUCUCAUCUCUGCAGGACCUGCUCUGUUUAUGUCCAGGUAUGUUCAGUGUUCCUGUGUGUCCCCAGAGUGUGGGGAGGUAAUGCUCCAUGUACGAACCUUUGCCAAGGGAAUAUGGAAACCGAUGGAUGAGUUCUUACCUCUUUUUUCGUCCAGACAAACUGUCCUAAGAUGGUUUUAAGAGAUACCGAGUAAUCAGCUGCCAGCUCAGUAGCGCAUCUUCAGAUUGACUCUCCCUCCUUCCCUGUCUCCUUCCCCAUAUUCUUCAUCUUGUUCCCUGGGAUCUUUCUCCCUAAUAAAGGAAAAGCUCAUAGACCUCUGCCCCAGCUUCUGCUUUCUGGGGAAUGCAGGCCAAUCCAGCCACACUACUCUCCCUCCAUGUAACCUGACCAUGCCAUCCCCCUGCUUAAAAGCUUUCAGUGCUUCUCCAUUGCCCAUAAAGCUCAUACUUUCUAGCUAUGAGCUUCAAGGCCACUUGGAGGUCAUCUGGCCAACUGUCCUUCCUGCUACAACAGUCUAAGUCAUAGGCUUUGGAAGAUAACUGAUUGGGUUUCAUCUUUGGCUCUUAUUGAAAAUGUGGAAAAAAUUAUUUCACCUCUAUAAGCUUCAGUUUCUUCAUCUAUCUGAUCUCAGGAUUGAGGGAAGGCAAUGUAUAUAAAGCAUCUGGCACAGUGGUUGGGGCACUAAAUACAUGGCAGCCAGUGUUUAUUAUUACAAACCAGGAAACCAGGAUGCAAAGGGAGCUGCUUCAGCUCCCUUUCAGUCAGCAGACAACGGCUGUCAAACUUGGGACCAAACAGCUACAAAACCAGAUGCCCGCUCUCCACAAAUAAGAGGCUGAAGUGCAGCUCUCCACUGAUGAACUAUAACAGUUGGAAAUUCACUUGUACUAUGGAUAUUUCUUCUGCACCUCUCGUGAACAGCCUGUUCUUGCUGAGGGCUGGACAGUAAAUAAAACAUCUACAGUGCCUACUUCCAUGGGGUUCAUGUUCUAAUGAGGGAGUGGAGACCCUCAACAAAGAACCAGCCAAUGUGCUAAGUCCUGUGGCAGAAACUGGGCAGAAAAGGGAAGAGAGAGGGAGGAUGGUUAUAUUUUUACAGGAUGGUUAAAAAAUUAGUCUUCUGUUUUUUGAGACAGGCUUUCACUCUGUUGCCCAGGCUGGUGUGCAACGGUGUGAUCAUGGCUCACUGCAGCCUUGACCUUCUGUGCUUAGUCAAUCCUCCCACCUCAGCCUCCCAAGUAGCUCAGAAUACAGGCUUGUGCCACCAUGCCCAGCUGAUUUUUGUAAUUUUUGUAGAGAGAGAUGGGGUUUCACUAUGUUGUCUAGACUGGUCUCAAAUUCCUGGGCUCAAGUGAUCUGCCUGCUUUGGCCUCCCGAAGUGCUGGGAUUACAGGCACAAACCACCAUGCCCAGCCAGGAAAUUAAUCUUCUAAUAAAGGUUCACUUAAGGUGAAGGGAGCAAGGGAGAAAGUUGAUAUCAAGGGGUGGCAUUCCAAGCAGCAAGAGUAGGAAGUAGAAAGGCCUGAGGCGGGAAAGGUCUUAGCCUGUUCAAAAGAUAGCAGAGAAGCAAGCACUGCUGAAGAGGAGUGGGUGAGGGGAAGGGUAGUGGGAAGUGAGGCCAGAGAGGGGUGGAUGAUCUGCAGACACAGGUGGAGACUGUGACUGUGAAAUUUGCCCUGAAUAUGAUGGAAAGCCACUGGAGGGUUGAACAAAGUUGUAGAGGCACCUGACUAGUUUCAGUGGAUCACUCUGGCUGAAUGAGGCCAGAAAGGAGGCCUCUGCCAUGAUCUCAGUAGGGAGGACAGUGGCUUGAACCUGAAGGCAGAGCCUGGAGGCAGUGAGAAGUGGUCAUUCUGAGAACAUUUUGAAGGCACAGCUUACAGAACUCACCGAUAGAUUGGAUGAGGGUUGUGAAUAGGAGGUGAUCCCAAAGACUGUGGCCCAAGCAAAUGAAAAGCAGGACUUGCCCUUUUCUGAAAAGGAGGACACUGAGGAAGGAGGUAGCAGGGACAAAUCUGGAGUUUGCUUUUAAAUGUGCCAAGCUUGAGAUGCUGACUGGUGUCUAGGAAACACAAAGCAUGCCUGGACACCCAAAUCUGGAGGUCAGGGAGAAGUUCAGACUGGAGAUACACUGGGGAACAUUAGAGUAUUUGUGGCAUUUAGCACCAGAAAACUGGGUGAGCUCACCAGGGGAAUGAGAGGACCUCCAGGGCUCCUUGGGGAUGCUCCAGUGUCCCAAAAUCAGGGCAACAAGAGUCCAAGAAAAGAGAUGGGGAAGAAGAGCCCAAUGAGGCAGGGAGAACCAUGACCAUUAUGCCCUGAAAAAGCCACAUGCAGGAGUCUCAAGGAGAAGGGAGUGACCAACUGCCCAAUACAGCUGACGACCAUAUCAGACAAGACUGAGAACUGGCCACAGGAUUUGGCAACAUGGCAAGAGCUAUAUGAAUGGACUGGUGAGCACAUAAGAGGAGAGGAAGUGGAAGCUUCAGGAUUAGACAGGGGGCCAGGCACAGUAUCCCAUGCCAAUCCCAGCACUUUGGGAGGCCGAGACAGAAGGAUCACUUGAGGCCAGGAGUUCAAGACCAGCCUGGGCAACAGAGAGAGACCUCAUCUCUACAAAAAAGGAAAAAAAAAAGGAAAAUCAGCCUGGACAACAUAGGGAGACCCAGUCUCUAUCAAAAAAAGAAAAAAAAAGAUUUAAUUUUUUAAUUAGCUGGACAUGGUGGUAUGCACCUGUGGUGCUAGCUAUUCAAGAGGCUGAGGUGAGAUGAUCACUUGAGCCCAGGAGUUCGAGUUGCAGUGAGCUAUGUUCAUGCCACUGCAUUCCAGCCUGGGUGACAGAGCAAGACCCUGUCUCUAAAAGAACAAAAAAAAAAAAGAGAGAGAGAGAAAGAGGCUAGACAAGUCUCUGGAGGAGUUUUGUGCAAAAAGGAGCAGAGAACACUGAUGGUGUGAGAGUGAUGUUCUUCAGGAGAUGACAGUGAAUGGGAUCUGGGGACAAUGGAGGUCUUUGGGGCUGUUAGCUUGUUUGUUCUUCUCUGGCCAUUCCAGCACUCAGGGUCACCUUCCCCUCCAGGCCCCUCCACUCCAGUGACUCCUUUGGUGACUUAUCCACUCAUGCAUUCUGAGUCUUUCCUGUAUCACCUCCUGACCCCUCCAGUGGCUCAGUCACUAUCUAGCUGUGUGACCUUGGAUGAGUCACUUAACCUCACAAGAAGCAGCAAUCAGUGAGUCCGGUGACUUCAGUUUCUUCCAGUAUCAGGGUGGACAGAGAGUCACAGUGGUAGGACCUGGGGGUGUUUCUCUAAGGUAUGUGGAAAUUUAGGCUCCCCUUUGAUCUCAGAUUCAUGGAGAACCCAGAACUGGUUAUUAGAAAACUCUUGCGGAGUGAAUAGGUAAGCUUCUUUCAUAUUAAUUCUUCACUUGGCAAAUGCUUAAGUGCCUGCUCUAUCCAAGGGUGUGUCAGAGGUUUUGCAAGGGUGGAGGAUGAGCCUCUUGGAUUUUACCCUCAAAGAGCUCAUAACCUUGUGGGGUGGUGGGUGUGUCUAUUCAAAACCAUAACAGGGCAGACUCUCUGGCACAUCAUUUUGUGUUCAUCUUUAGGACCAGUUGUCACAGUUGCACACACAAAUUAAAGUUCCACAGGAGGUGGGAUGUUUUCGGUCUUGUACUCUAUGUGCCUGACACAUCGUAAGCAGUCAGUACAUGUUUGUUGAAUGAAAGCAGUAUUGAAUGGUACCAUUUAAUUUGUGUUUUGAAGCAAGGGUGGGAUUUGGACCUACACAGAUGGGCGAGGGGGCGCAUUGCAGACUGGCGGGGGUUGGGGUGGCUGGAGGCAGGAGGAGGGAAUGGCGGGAGCAGAUGUACAGAGACAGUGACACCCAAGGCAUGGUUGGUAAUUGCAGGCCGACUGUGACUGGAUCGUGUGAUAUGUCAGGAUGCAAAGAGACUGAAAAAAUGAAUAUGAUUACUUUUAUAAUGGAAAAAAAAAGGCCACAUCAAUACUUUAAAAAAGAAAGGCUAGCAUUAGGCAGGGUUUUAGCACUCACAGCCAGGACGUGAUAAAGUUUUGCAUCUUCCAAGGGUUCCCAGUCAGUCUUUGUGGUAUGAGUCUCCAAUUCCAGCCAUGAUCCUCCUCUGUAAGGUGGGUACCUCCCACAAUGGGUGGCAGAGGGUCCACUUGCUGGCUAGAGAUGCCCUCCCACCCCCCCCACCACCCCCAGGAGCUAGAGAUACUGAGGGGUACUGGCUUUCACUGGGACAGUUCGUACACUUGUAAGCGGCCAUCAAAAAUGAUAUCUAGGCUGGGCACGGUGGCUCAUGCCUGUAAUCCCAGCACUUUGGAAGUCAGAGCAGAGCGGAUCACCUGAGGUCAGGAGUUCGAGACCAGCCUGGCCAACAUAGUGAAACCCCAUCUCUACUAAAAAUACAAAAAAAAAAAAAAAAUAGCUGGGUGUGGUGGCAGGCACCUGUAAUCCCAGUUACACAGGAGGCUGAGGCAGGAGAAUUGCUUGAAUCCAGGAGGCAGAAGCUGCAGUGAGCCAAGAUCGUGCCAUUGCACUCCAGCCUGGGCAGCAUGAGUGAAACUCCUUCUCAAAAAAAAAAAAAAAAAAAGAUAUCCAGCAAGAUGAAAAACUGUUGAUGAUACAGUUUUAAGUGAAAUAGAGCAGAAUACAAAAAGCCAUGUUCACUAAGAACAUAUCUAUGCAAACUAUGCACAUGGCAAAUAUUUAUCAAAAGAAUGAAAAAGCCUCACAAAAAAUAUGACCACAUGCAGCCAGAGAUGAGACAGACAACCAAAACUGAAUGCACCUUUUCAGCAAUAACAAUUUUAGAGACGUUCCCAGAACUAGGAUGGGUGUCUACAGGUUCUUACCCAGUGUCUCUAGGCUCCAGGGCAACCUGUUUCUUAGAGCAGAGCUUCUCAAACUUUAAUGUGCACACAAUUAACCUGGGAUCCUGAUAAAACAUGGAUUUGGAUUCAAUCGAGCUGGGCUGGCAACAAGGACUCUGAAUAUCUACAAGCUCCAGGUGAUGCUGGGGCACAGAACACACUCAACGAGGCUUCUACCCACUACCCCAAUUCUUAGCACCAAACACUUUCCCCAGAGGCCUAGCCUGGCCCUCCGUCCUCAAGCAUGUCUGCACCUGAAAUCAUCUUUGUCCCCAGCAUCUUGGCACCAUCGAGACUAAUAAUGAGAAGCAACUCCAGGCACUUGCGUGGGAUCCAGGGGGGCCUGAGGCCCCCAAUUCCUUGGGAAGCUUGAACAAUGACAUCUUUCUGGGGUGAUGGGAAGACAAAAGUGACUCCAUCUUGGAUGCUAAUUUUCCCAUGUUGACUUCUGAUUAGCCCCAGUCCCAUGAAUGCCUCCUGACUCCUACUUUAUUUACUGUCCCGAGUGUAAGAAUAUGUACUCCUGCUUUUAGAUCAAAGCAAGCUUGAUGUUAUCAUGCAAAUUCUGGGCUAUGAUGCACAUGGCGUUCUUGCCUGCUCUGGCACACUACCUUUCACUGUCUUGCUGGAGCAUGUAUAUCCUUUUCCCUUGGUAUAUAAGCCUUGGGUCCGAGAGUAACAGUGCAGAGAUCUGCCUGUCUUGUGGCCACCCGAGACCACCCGCCUGCUUAAAAGUUCCCUCAAUAAAUCACUCAAUACCAACAAACUGGAUUUGUCUGCUUCCUUCUUUGGUCUCUUGGCUCCUUUGGCAUUUGGGGGUUGCUUUGUGCAUGUGGGCUUUUCACAAAAUAGAUGGGUCCCGGAGCCUGGGCUUCGCUGGCAGGUGGUCACCUGGAGCAGCCAGCAGCAGAUGGCACCACAGGACAAGCACAAGCUGUGUCCAAGAGAGUGGCUCAAGAAAUCUGCCCAAAAUCCAACACAAAAAUGAACAAAGGAACUGAAUGGGAGAUGUGACCAAAAGAAGCGAUAAGACAAACAGCUCCAGGAGGGGAGCUGCUGGCUCAAAGAGCACUUGUCUUGGGCGUCAGUUCCACCGGUUCUUGGUCAGGGGUGAGAGCCCUAUGCCAGACCCCCUUUGCAGAACCUAUGCUGGCUUAUGAUGAGGCUCUUCCAGGGCUCCAGCACAUGAAUACCCUGCCCUGGGAGGCUAUAGUAGGCCAGCCACUGUCCACUCUGCUGGAGGGUCAGUCUGAGCCAACAGAACCAUGCGGAGACAUCCCAUCCAAUGCAGCCCAGGAGCAGUCUUGACAUUUCUUUCCCUGCAAGGACAGGCUGUCUGGUCCACACAUAGAUGAAGCCUUGGGCCUGGUUCAGCAUCCAGAGGACUAGGCCAUAACCCCCAAGGUAAGAUAUUCACACUCAUUGGAGCCCUUUCUCCUUUUUCCCUGGAUGGCUGGAGGAAGGGGACCCCUGCUUUUUUCAGCCAGUGCCCCAUGAAGUUAGACUCCCAGGACUCCCUGCCCCUGAUCCUACUUAAGGCCACUGGGAUGCCCAAUACCCUGAGGAAGCUUUGAAAGAUACGUGGCACAUUAUCUGGGGCAAGUCAGCUCAGUGGUCAGAGCACAGAGUGAAGGAGGCUGCAGCCAUAGCCUUGAGUUCUGGAGGCCUCUGUAGUGGGUCAACAGUGGGGAGAGCCACAGAGUCUCGGUCCAGCUACUGUAUCAAAUGAGGUCCUGGGAGGCAAGGAAGGGCAGGCAGGAGACUAUGGCUGCAGGAGCCUGAGCCCUGGCCCCCUUCCCAUGCUGGACUCCUGUCCAGCACCAAACAUUCAGCAGUGAGUGGCACCUUUACCAUCAACCCACCAUGGAAAACUUCCCUGGAGCUCUCUCCUUGUGCCAGGGCCUGUCCAUGGCAUGUAAGACACAAGCCCCAUGAUGGUAUGGAUUUCACCUGCAAGGCGCUUGCCAUCUCAUCGAGGAGAGGAACUUGCAGGCUGAUUUCCAUGUAAGGUGGAAGACACAGUGAUAGAGAAAAGGGAUGGAGUAGGAAGUGAGUCCUGGAAUUCCUGCUGCAGAGGGCUGUAAGCCAAGACUACUGCAUCUAUUGUCUUCAGCUGGAUGCGCUAAUGAUCUAACAGUAAUCCCACUGCUUUGCAUCCACAGAAUUC